rnacentral:misc_RNA from 1 species
GAUGAAGAACGCAGCGAAAUGCGAUAAGUAAUGUGAAUUGCAGAAUUCAGUGAAUCAUCGAAUCUUUGAACGCACCUUGCACCCUUUGGACUGCUCCAAAGGGUAUGCUCGUUUGAGUGUCAUUGUACUCUCACACUCUCUGAUCCUUUGGAUUUGGGGAGCAGUGGACUUGGGUGCUUGCUGCUUCCUUGUGGCUCACCUGAAAUGCAUCAGUGCAUCUCUCGAUUGGACAUAGUACGGCGUGAUAAGUGUCUUCGCCGGCACCUCAUAUGAGGGUGGCCGAUCGGGAGCUCUGUGCUUUCAAACCGUCUUCGGACAACGCUGACAACUUGACCUCAAAUCGAGUAGGACUACCCGCUGAACUUAAGAAUAUCAAUAAACGGAGGA